AUGGCUGAUCUGCCGAUAAGGUGCUUGGUCCUUCCGAGGAAGCAAAGGCCGCUAGGAGUGAGGCCCUCACUUCAUCCAGAGACUAGCACCGCACCCAACAGCCCCCACCUCUCAUUCAUCUGCACCACGGCCUCCGUCUCGGAGUUCGCCUGCAUCUACUCUGCCCUCAUCCUGCACAACAAUGAGGUGACGGUCCAGGAGGAUAAGAUCAAUGCCCUCAUCAAAGCAGCAGGUGUAGAUGUUGAGCCAUUCUGGCCAGGCUUGUUUGCAAAGGCUCUGGCCAAUGUCAACAUUGGGAGCCUCAUCUGCAAUGUGGGGGCUGGUGGACCUGCCCCAGCAGCUAGUGCUGCACCAGCAGGAGGUCCUGCCCCAGCUACCACUGCUGCCCUGGCUGAGAAGAAGAAAGUAGAAGCAAAGAAAGAAGAAUCUGAGGAGUCUGAUGAUGAUAUGAGCUUUGGUCUUUUUGACGAAACUUUUGUAACACAUUCAACAAUAAAAAGCUGAGCUCUUCGCUGAAAAAAAAAAAAACAAAAAAAAAAAAAAACAAAGCUGGAG